GCUCGAAAUAAACGUGUUGUAUUUAAAGCAUCUUUUUUUCUUUCUUUUACCAUAUUUUGAGAAGUAUCAACAAAGUACAUUUAUUCAGUUUAGCGAGUGAUGAUUCCUCUUGCAAAUGUUCUCUUGGCUGUUUUUUUGCACUAUGUAAGGUUUUAUUAUGUCAAUAUAUCAUGUCAAUAUAUUCAGUUAGGGAUUCUACUAAACUGUGUGCUCUGGUGAGGCUUAAAUUAAAAAGAAAAGGGGGGGGGACUGUGUUAAGGUCAAGGAAUGCAUGUGUGUAUUUGGAUUGGCUAAAAACUCACUGCCCCUUCACAUCAUCAAAUCUGACAGCUCUAAUGUGAACAUACACACAUGUUAGCAGUUGCUUGCCAUUCCAGUAAUCUGUUGGGGUUUUUUUUUUUUUAUUUUAUUUAAGCAGCUAAUUAUUAUUUCAAAUAAUAAACUUGAGUAGCACUGAAUAAAGUAGUUAAAAAAGGGAAAGUGUACUGUGGGGCUCCAUGUUGUGCUACAAUUAAGAGAGCUGAGUGGCGCACGGAAAAUAAGAGAUGAAAGAAAAAAACAGAAUAUUGGGAUUAGAGUAGAAGGAUAAGGAGGAGGAGGAGGAAAGAGAGAGAGAGAGGGAGGGAACGAGGGAACUGGGCAGUUGGCCCAGGGUGAGAAGGUUCACAUGGUGCACUCUACCAUGCAACGGUGCUCAGCAUUCCCUCUCAUAACGACACACAUUCGCUGCUAGGAUAUCCUGGCAGGACUCACUCCAGUCUCAGAGCCAAUCAGAGAUUAGUCUCACUUUCGCAUAGUUUCCAGUCGGGCUUCAGAGCAAUAAUACAUCACUAUAUCUCAGAGGAGCUCCACUGCUCUUGCACUCUCUAGCAAACUCACAAGCAAGGUAAACUUUAAUCCCUGUUCCUCUACUGAUGCGUGUCUGUGUUACACAUCUGUGCAUUGUUCCUAACAGAGAGAUUUUUACAGCAGCAGCAGCAGCACUAAUCUGGCUCUGUAGCUGGCCUUGUCAACUUUGUCAAACAGAUCAAAAGCACAUGGAACAGAAAGACGUGGAAAAAACCCAAGACUCAUUUGCUGACAUUCGUUUCCUUCUGAAAGUUUAGUAUGUAUGCACAUCAAGCUCAGUGAGGAGGAGACUCCGUGCUUGUGCUGACUGCAGCAUGCACAGAGGGCACUGGCAGUUAUCCCUAAGCCAGUGGGUAGUGGGACCGCUGCCAGCGUCUGAUACCCAAAACAAGGCGCUUUUACUGGCUUGGAUGGACGAUUGGCUCCUUUCAGCACAUGCAGAGCCGCUCUGGAGGCACAGCGAGCCAGACUAGAGAACAUCCUGAUCCGAGGUGCAGCCUGUAAGCAGUGUGAUGUCGACUGUCUUCAUGGAAACAUAUAAAAAGGGUUAAGUGGUUACAUAAUUGCUUUACAGCCUUGUUUAUGAUACCAGCACAAAUUAACAACAUCUUUAUUACAUGAUGAUAAUCUCUUUAUUCACUGUAAACUGAAUUGAGCAUGGUAUGCAAUGGUAUGAUGUAAACGUUUAGAACGGUACGCAAAACCUACAUUGAUUUUCCCCAAAAGUUAAUGACCAAACAUUAUAACAGUGCUAUAAAAAGUACGUCACCCAUGACCGGUAACCUUACACAUACUAAUUGCGAAUCUUACACACACAAAAUGUGCUGUGUAAAAAGGUUUUUGGAACAGUAGUUCCUAGAAAUGUAAAAGCCUACAUGCACUAUAUGGCCAAGGAUUUGUUCAGCAGACCAUAACGCUUGUUGAAUGCAGCCCAUUAUGUUAUAAUAAUUUCCACUAUACUGGGAAGGCUUUCAGAUCUGAGGAACACGAGCAUUAGUGAGGCAGCGAUGAUGUUAGUCGGACGCUGAUGUCUAGCAAGAAGGUCGACGUUUCAGUCCAUCCUAAAGGUGGGGUUGAGGUCAGGGCUCUGUGAAGGCCACUCUUUUAUGACAACUAUGCAUACAUCAUGAAGACACUGAGUUACACAGAGAUCACUUAUCCUGUAUUAUUACUACGGACUACUGAAAACAUAUCUGUUUGGAAAUGUCUCCAUGUUCCUUUGGUGUGAUAAAAAUGUACCUUGGAUUUGCAAUAAAUAACAUAAAGUAGCCUCAAAAGAACAAUUAGGACCAUCAAUUCGAAAUUCCCAGCUACACCACUCAGAAGUCACACUAAUAAACAACAGAUCCGGCGUGCAUAAAGCUAUAUCACAUGCAUUACGUGUGCAGUGACACGGUGUGAGUUUAAGGGUCAUAGAGCACGCGCUGCAUAAUAAAGUUACGUAAGCGGCCACCACAUGACGUCAGCUCAUCACCGCACGCGCUCGCCGGCGGCAGAAGUAGGUGAAAGGUCGCGCAAUUCACCGGCUGUGUUUCCGGUUAUUUUCUGACCGGUUCCAGAUAGACGCUAUGUUAUCUGUAAGCAGAAGGCGCUUUUAAUCACGCAAUCUUUAACGCACAGCUGUAGUUAUACUCGAACGGACACAGAAUACAUGUAAGUGCCUUGUUAGUAGAAGUAGUCUCUACGCGAGCAUGCUAACAAACAAUAGCCGCAGCUAAGCCAGUGAGUUAGUGAGAGUAGGGUUGUUUGUUAUGAUGUCCUGUGCGCGUGCGGAAUUAAGGCGAGCACGUGUGAACGGAAAAAGAGGAAAAACAGUCUAAUGCACGAGGAGAUGGGAAGCUGAACUUACCGUGUGUAAAGGGAAAAGAAGCUUCUGUGAGUGUGAAUGCAGGAAGACGCACACCGGGAAGUGUGUGAAAGGUCGCUGUGCUUUGUGAAUCAAUACACACCCACUACACGGAAACUCCUUUUGCUUCAGGUUUCAUGUGCAGAUUAUAAAUAGCACCAAUAAACGAUAUGGAUCGUUUAAGUGAUAAAUUGAUAUCUUUGUGUCCUGAAAUGAUUUGUAUUUAUAUUUAUGAGGUUCAUUCUCUGUCAAAUAACUGAUUCCUUACUGCUUUCAAUGCCAAAGACAAAUAGACAGGGAUUGUUGUAUAUAAGGAAAUUCUUUGUGAAUGUUCUUUGUUUGUUUGUUUGUUUGUUGGGG